rnacentral:tRNA from 2 species
GCGGGCGUAGUUCAGGGGUAGAACGUCUGCUUGCCAUGCAGAAGGUCGUGGGUUCAAAUCCCAUCGCCCGCUCUA